AUACCGGCGGCUCGAGUGGUGGCCACUAUUACUGGGCUUAAAGCGUUCGUAGCUGGUCUGUUAAGUCUCUGGGGAAAUCUACUGGCUUAACCAAUAGGCGUCUCAGGGAUACUGGCAGACUAGGGACCGGGAGAGGUGAGAGGUACUCCAGGGGUAGGAGUGAAAUCCUGUAAUCCUUGGGGGACCACCUGUGGCGAAGGCGUCUCACCAGAACGGCUCCGACAGUGAGGGACGAAAGCUGGGGGAGCAAACCGGAUUAGAUACCCGGGUAGUCCCAGCCGUAAACGAUGCGCGUUAGGUGUAUCGGUGACCACGAGUCACCGAGGUGCCGAAGAGAAAUCGUGAAACGUGCCGCCUGGGAAGUACGGUCGCAAGGCUGAA
rnacentral:rRNA from 1 species